rnacentral:rRNA from 1 species
AUGGCAAAGUGUCUCGCCGUCGCGCUCCUGCUGCUGGUGGUGCUCGCGUACUGCGACGGGAGGGAGCUGAACCAGAAGGACCAGGCACUGGCAACGGCACGCGGUGCCGGUGCCGCCGGUGGUGGCGUCGGCGAAGAGAAGGUUUUGGGGUUGCCAGAGUUGCCGCUUGUGGGAGCCGUUACAGGGACCAGUACCGUUACCGGUCCGGUGGUGGUGGUUCCUGCCCUUCCCGGGAUCCCGGCACACCCAUGA